GAAACCUGCUUAUCCCCUAGCUCUGCACUCCAUGGGAACUUCAGUCAGGUGGAAAGUUAUUCUCUUCUCUGCUCGAGCAGCUUGAAAGCCCACAGUGUAACACCAAGAAGCAUCCUGACCCCGCCUGGAUCGACGUGAGGGCAGAUGAGGCUGAGGCAAGACGCUAUGACAAGUCACGGUAAUACAAUAAUGUUCAGAAGGAAAAAGGCCCAGCUAAUCCACUGUUGCAGAGAAACCAUGAAGGAAGAAAGCAGAUACCUCUGUAAAAUUUAUAUGGGCCCUGCAAUUUUCAAAUCAGAUAAGAUAUUAAAAAAAAUAACAGCAAAAUGGGGAACCAUUUUUUUAAAUAAAAGGCCAUAGUGAA